rnacentral:rRNA from 1 species
GACGAACCGUGCGAACGUUGUUCGGAAUCACUGGGCUUAAAGGGCGCGUAGGCGGGCUCCCAAGUCUGGGGUGAAAUCUUUCGGCUUAACCGGAAAAGUGCCUCGGAUACUGGGAGCCUUGAGGGAGGCAGGGGCGGAUGGAACUUCCGGUGGAGCGGUGAAAUGCGUUGAUAUCGGAAGGAACGCCGGUGGCGAAAGCGAUCCGCUGGACCUCUUCUGACGCUGAGGCGCGAAAGCCAGGGGAGCAAACGGG